rnacentral:misc_RNA from 1 species
AAAGUGCGAUAUGAAGUGCGAUUUGCAUGAUCUGUGAGUCAUCAUAUUUUUGAACGCAACAUGCGCCCAGCAAUGGGCAUGUCUGUUUGAGAGUCGAGUCUAUGACUGGUGUGUGUUUGACACUCACCGAGUUGGCUGGGGAGUGCAAGCUCGCCGGCUAAAUCAGAGCACGAAACAGGUCGCGCCGCGUGACAAGGACACGUCCUCUCGUGGACGACAUGUCCUCUCGUGGACCAACCUAACAAAUACAAAUACUGACCUCAAAUCAGGCAGGACUACCCGCUGAACUUAA